rnacentral:rRNA from 1 species
UAAGCGAAUAGUGAAUCUGGUGGCUCAACCAUUCAGGCUAUUAUUCGAACUCACUGACUCGAGAACAGCAGAGGUAACUGGAAUUUCUGAAGUAGGGGUAAUAUCCGUAGAUAUCAGAAGGAACACCAAUGGCGUAGGCAGGUUACUGGACCAUUUCUGACACUGAGGCACGAAAGCGUGGGAGCGAACGGGAUUAGAUACCCCGGUAGUCCACGCCGUAAACGAUGGAUACUA